GAUGAACGCUAGCGGCAGGCUUAAUACAUGCAAGUCGAGGGGCAGCACGAAUAGCAAUAUUUGGUGGCGACCGGCAAACGGGUGCGGAACACGUACGCAACCUUCCCAAACAGGUGAUAGCCCUGCGAAGUAGGAUUAAUACACCGUAAGAUAUAGUUGUGGCAUCACGAGUUAUAUUAUAGACCGCAAGGUUGGUUUUGGAUGGGCGUGCGCCUGAUUAGGUAGNGGUGCGGGUAACGGCCCACCAAGCCUCCGAUCAGUAACUGGUGUGAGAGCACGACCAGUCACACGGGCACUGAGACACGGGCCCGACUCCUACGGGAGGCAGCAGUAAGGAAUAUUGGUCAAUGGACGCAAGUCUGAACCAG
rnacentral:rRNA from 1 species